rnacentral:rRNA from 1 species
UGCCAGCAGCCGCGGUAAUACAGAGGGUGCAAACGUUGCUCGGAAUUAUUGGGCGUAAAGCGCGUGUAGGCGGCCUGCCAAGUCGGCUGUGAAAGCCCGUGGCUCAACCACGGAAGUGCAGUCGAAACUAGCAGGCUAGAAUCUCGGAGAGGGUGGCGGAAUUCCAAGUGGAGAGGUGAAAUUCGUAGAUAUUUGGAGGAACACCGGUGGCGAAGGCGGCCACCUGGACGAGUAUUGACGCUGAGACGCGAAAGCGUGGGGAGCAAACAGGAUUAGAUA